rnacentral:misc_RNA from 1 species
GAUGAAGAACGCAGCGAAUUGCGAUAUGUAAUGUGAAUUGCAGAAUUCAGUGAAUCAUCGAAUCUUUGAACGCACAUUGCGCCCGCCAGUAUUCUGGCGGGCAUGCCUGUUCGAGCGUCAUUUCAACCAUCAAGCCUUAGGCUUGUGUUGGAGCUCUGCGACUGUCCGCAGGCCCCUAAAUGCAGUGGCGGGCUCGCUAUCACACCGAGUGCAGUAGUUUUCUUUCUCGCUCAGGGCGUGUAGUGGGUGCUAGCCGUAAAACCCCCUUUUCUCACAAGGUUGACCUCGGAUCAGGUAGGAAUACCCGCUGAACUUAAGCAUAUCAAUAAGCGGAGGA